rnacentral:rRNA from 1 species
AUUGAACGCUGGCGGCAGGCCUAACACAUGCAAGUCGAACGAGUGGCGGACGGGUGAGUAAUGUCUGGGAAACUGCCUGACGGACGGGUAUAACUACUGGAAACGGUAGCUAAUACCGCAUACCAUCAGAUGUGCCCAGAGGGGAUUGGCUAGUGGGUGGGGUAACGGCUCACCAAGGCGACGAUCCCUAGCUGGUCUGAGAGGAUGACCAGCGAAACUGGAACUGAGACACGGUCCAGACGCCUACGGGAGGCAGCAGGGGGGAAUAUUGCACAAUGGGCGCAAGCCUGAUGCAGCCAUGCCGCGUGUAUGAAGAAGGCAUGCGGGUUGUAAAGUACUUUCAGCGGGGAGGCGUUACCCGCAGAAGAAGCACCGGCUAACUCCGUGCCAGCAGCCGCGGUAAUAC